rnacentral:tRNA from 1 species
GCUCAGCUAGUUCAGUCUGUAGAGCAUGAGACCCUUAAUCUCAGGGUCGUGGGUUCGAGCCCCACAUUGGGCA